UACAGAGGUCUCAAGCGUUGUUCGGAUUCAUUGGGCGUAAAGGGUGUGUAGGUGGCGCGCUAAGUCGGGUGUGAAAUUUCGGAGCUUAACUCCGAAACUGCAUUCGAUACUGGCGUGCUUGAGGACUGGAGAGGAGACUGGAAUUUACGGUGUAGCAGUGAAAUGCGUAGAUAUCGUAAGGAAGACCAGUGGCGAAGGCGGGUCUCCUGGACAAGCUUCCUUCG
rnacentral:rRNA from 1 species